GGCGCGCCUACGACGGCGGUUUCGGGUUGGACCGCCGCCGGCGCCGGUGGCUGUGCCGGUUCCGCCCCCGGCGCGGGCGCC
rnacentral:tRNA from 1 species